UACGUAGGCAGCAAGCGUUGUUCGGAGUUACUGGGCGUAAAGGGUGCGUAGGCGGUUGUUUAAGUUUGGUGUGAAAUCUCCCGGCUCAACUGGGAGGGUGCGCCGAAUACUGAAUGACUAGAGUGCGGGAGAGGAGAGUGGAAUUCCUGGUGUAGCGGUGAAAUGCGUAGAUAUUGGGAAGAACACCGGUGGCGAAGGCGGCGACCUGGUCCGAAUACCUGACGCUGGAGGCGCGAAAGCGUGGGGAGCAAACAGG
rnacentral:rRNA from 1 species